GAUGAACGCUGGCGGCGUGCCUAAUACAUGCAAGUCGAGCGAACGGACGAGAAGCUUGCUUCUCUGAUGUUAGCGGCGGACGGGUGAGUAACACGUGGAUAACCUACCUAUAAGACUGGGAUAACUUCGGGAAACCGGAGCUAAUACCGGAUAAUAUUUUGAACCGCAUGGUUCAAAAGUGAAAGACGGUCUUGCUGUCACUUAUAGAUGGAUCCGCGCUGCAUUAGCUAGUUGGUAAGGUAACGGCUUACCAAGGCAACGAUGCAUAGCCGACCUGAGAGGGUGAUCGGCCACACUGGAAGUGAGAAACGGUCCAGACUCCUACGGGAGGCAGCAGUAGGGAAUCUUCCGCAAUGGGCGAAAGCCUGACGGAGCAACGCCGCGGGAGGGAUGAAGGUCUUCGGAUCGUAAAACUCUGUUAUUAGGGAAGAACAUAUGUGUAAGUAACUGUGCACAUCUUGACGGUACCUAAUCAGAAAGCCACGGCUAACUACGUG
rnacentral:rRNA from 1 species